GUCAAGGAGAAUUAGGAUAGAGUAGUGACCACGAGAUUUUGCAGCGAGUAGAUCAUUGGAUACUUUGGUCAGUGCCAUUUCCACAGAGUGCUUAGCGCGGAAACCAGACUGAAGCGGGUCUAGCAGAGAGUUGGACUUGAGGAAGUCUGUCAAUCUUGCAUACACAAUUCUUUCAAGGAUCUUGGAUGCAAAAGGCAGUAGCGAGAUAGCUGGGAGUGUCUGUCUGUACUGUACUGUGUUGAUUGGCUGUUGUAACUUUGUGUCCUGUGUACCACAAGGUUCACGUGGGUGGUAACCUUGUGGGAAAAGGUGUAUAUAAGAAAGUCCUGUGUGCUCAUUAAACCAGUUCUACUUUGACCCUCAACUCAGCCUUCACUCGUGUUUGGAGGGGACAGCUAUCGUCACUACAGGGAUUGCUAUGCUCUGCAUAUUCCCUUAGUUUCACUGCACCCACUGGAACCUGGAGCCUUGUUGUAGGUCCAGGGUGGGUAGGAGACGGCAAGACCCCAACCCAGCAGCGGCAGUUUGUGGGGUCUGCAGUGUCACGGCAAGGGUGUAUAAUUUAUUAUUACACUAUGGAAUAUCAUCUUUUAAUGUAAUUUGUGUAGUAAAUGGCACAAAUUACAGAGAUGCUAUUGCUGAGGUCUUUUGAAGCUGGGACCCCCACAGAGGUCAGAUGACAGAAGGGGUAGUGUGAAUGGCAUAGCAAUGUGAAAAGGAUUUUACUAUAUGGAUGUGAAGUAAUCAAGGAUAUGCAAGGUGUGAGGUUCUACACUUGGAAAAAGUCUGGCUGUCUCUUCAUCCAUUUGGCAUUUACCUUGUAAAGCAUAAUUCAAUCAUUUGAAAUGGUAAUGGGAUUCUUUUCAUGAAGAUCCUUGUGUUCCAGUAUCUUAUCCAAGUGAAACAUUAAUACUUACCCACAGGUUAAUAAUUAGUCCUCAUUUUUAUUAUAUUUGGAAUGGAACAAGCCCAAUCUUUUAAUUAAGCCCAAACAUGAGUUGCACAACUUAAACUGUGUGGCAGGACUUGUGAUGUCUGUCCUAUUGGAUUGUGGGCGGGGCGUGCAACAUGUCUAUGGAAUGGGAAAAUAAU